rnacentral:rRNA from 1 species
AACGAACGCUGGCGGCGUGCCUAACACAUGCAAGUCGUGCGAGAAAGUUCCUUCGGGAGCGAGUAAAGCGGCGCACGGGUGAGUAACACGUAGGUAACCUGCCCCCCAGUCUGGAACAACUAGAGGAAACUCUAGCUAAUGCCGGAUGAGACCACGAUCCCUUCGGGGGUUGCGGCCAAAGAUGGCCUCUACUUGUAAGCUAUCGCUGAGGGAUGGGCCUGCGGGCCAUUAGCUUGUUGGUGAGGUAACGGCUCACCAAGGCUGUGAUGGCUAGCUGGUCUGAGAGGAUGACCAGCCACACUGGGACUGAGACACGGCCCAGACUCCUACGGGAGGCAGCAGUGGGAAUAUUGCGCAAUGGGCGAAAGCCUGACGCAGCGACGCCGCGUGGGUGAUGAAGGCCUUCGGUCGUAAGACUCUGUGGGGAGAGAAGAAGAAAGUACUGUGAAGAGCGGACCUUGACGGUAGUCUCCUUAGCAAGCACCGGCUAACUCCGU